CAGACGCUAAGAGCUCAGGAUGUUCUCAAGAGUAACAGGAGGUCCCAGUUCAUGUCCAUGCAGUGCCUGAACUGAGGAGGUGAGCUCAUAUCUGUGCUACACAGGCUGAGCAUGCUAUAGGUGCUCCAUUUUGCAGCCUGACAUCCUCCAGAUGAGUGGCCCUGUGCAGUGAUAGAAAAAGGCCCAUACUUGCUUCUCAACUAGCACAGAAGUCCUUACUUUAAAUUCUGUUCCAGACACAGGAAAAACUUAGUGCCAGCAGUUUCAUCAAAGCAUAUGCUUCUGCAAAAGAGCUUUAAUGAAUAAAUGUUUUCUGACUUUUUUUUUAUUUUUUAUUUUUUGCCAGAAAUCCUGUCCAGCUCCACCAUUCAGUUAUCUCUAAAGAUUGCUGCCUGCCAUCUGGAAAACAAGGAUAAUAAUUUUACCUGCCUUUUAUGAAGCACAGUAGGGUUUAGUGGGUGAACAGCUCACAAAACAAAAGUGUAACCAAAAGCUAGUGCUUUCACAAACUGAUCUGGCAGCUGCCACACUAUACCGGACAGUAAUAUCUAACUAGGCCAUACAAAGUAGUAAUUUUGGCACAAGCAGACCUGUGUUAUACUAUUUUAAAAUAUACAUUUAUUUCUAUGGCACUGGAGUCCAAUGGUGACGUCAAGUGUUUUGGGAAAAGGAGGGUGUAUUUCUUUCAUACGUGCUUUACUUUCUAAUAGCUGUUGGGCUGUCUGUUCAUAGAUUAAUGCAGUGGUUUGGGAUGGAAAGGACCUUAGAGAUCAUCUAGAUCCAACUGCUCUGCCAAAAGCAGGGGCACUUUCUGCUAAGCUCUGCUGCCCAGGACCCAUGCACCCUGGCCUUGAACAUUAACAGGGAUGGGGUAUCCACAGCUUCUCCAGGCAGUCUGUGCCACUGCCUCACCACCCCCAUAGGAAAGAAUUUCUUCCAAAUCCAAAUCCAAGUCCAAUCUAAAUCUAUGCUUUUACUUUAAGCCAUUAGCCCUCAUCCUAUCACUUUUCUCCCAGUAAGGAGUUCCUCUCUGGCUCUCUCAGAGUGACAGAACUGAGCAAAAGUAUUUGAUGUCACAGAGUAAUGGUGUGAUGGAUGGACUGUGACCUCAUCGACCACCACUGCAUAUAUUGGGUCACAGCAGAGCCUGGCCCAGCCAAGCUUGCAUCUGGUCUCUGGCUGAUCAUAUUUGUGAGGCUUGGAGACAUAGUGAGCCUUCCUUGGGUUGUGCUGAGGGCCUCUGGGAGCUGUUCUUGGUGUCCGUCCCCACAUCAUCGCCUGUGUUUCCCUGGCCCUAACUGGCUCAGGCAGCUAUCAACAGCAUCUCAGUCUUACUUCAGAACUCAGGACAGAGCCUGUGGUUGCUUCUAUUAAGCCAAACUGUAAUAGUUGGACCAUGAACAUCUACUGCAAUAACAGCAACAUUACAAAACUGAUCAUCCCCAUCCCUCAGAAACAGGCUGCAUCUCUGUUUGUUUUCUAUUGAGAAGGGAAGUGUCCCCAAGGGUCUCCCUUUGGGAACCCCUGUCUUGGCAUGAAAUGAGUAAUGCGAUUUAUGUAGACGUUGCCAGCUUCUCUCCUUUCUCAGACAGAAAAUGGUUUUAUCUAGUCAGCUGUCUUUUUCAGACAUACGCUGUAUUCAUUCGCCUCCAUCCCUUUUGAACCAUGCAUACCAUCAGCAUCUCCUCUCAAAUUUGACAGGAGCUGAGAAAGAAGUGAAAAUGAUACAUAAAUUAUGGGGUGAAAUGAAGGUUGUGAAUGUCAGGUCCAUAGCAGAGUACUUCAGUCUCUGCUAAACACAGAAAGUCUUCCCAUCUGGAUGGUUCUUCUGACACACAAUAACAACAUAUGACUCAGUGAUUUCCAGCAGGAGUCCAGAAGAAUGCACAGUGGAAAAAUUUAUCUUUGAAUUCAUAAUUUUUGAACUUAUUUACAUUCUCAUUCUAUGAAAAAUUCAUUUGUGCUAUUAAAAACCGUGGUGGCGGAAACCCAAAAAUCCAAGCCAAAUUCAUAAUCGAAGGCAAUUAAGUUGAUUGCUUCAUGAUAAAUACCACAUCUUUUCUUAAUGGGGAUACUGCUCUUGAGUAAGCAAACUGUUUCUCUGUUCAUUAAUUUAAAAGAAUGCAUCUCUCUCAAAAGUUCAAUGGAAAGCAAACAUUUAUUAUUGAGUUCUUGAAAAUCUCAACCAUUUAAAUAGCUUAUAUACUAAUAACAGGAGCAGAAAAAGCAACCUGAUUCUUCUUAUACAAAAAUGUUGAUUUUCGUUGUCUUCUAGGUAUAGAAAAUCUAUCUCUACAAUUCCUGGCCUCUAUUUUUUGGUUUCUAUUCAUUUCUAAGAAUGAACCUAUUCCUCAGGAGUCUGGAGUUUGAUUUAACAACUGAAUGCAAGAGUCACUGUGAAAGAGUGCUUAUAGAUAAGUGACAAAGUUUGUUUCUCAAGUAGGACAAGUAAAAAUAUGCUACAGAAGCUGACUGAUUUAUUCCCUUGGUCCAUACCAUUUGAGCUAUAUAGAUUAAGACUGUUCCUUUAUUCUUAAAAAUAGACAAAAAUAAAAUAACCCAGUCUAGAAUUCAUUUUAACAUUCAUAUGGAACAUAGAUAAAGAAUUCUAAUGCUAGACAAAAUUGAAAAAAAGUGUGAAAAAAAACCAAAAUUAAAGAAAAAUGAGAAAAAUAAAUGGUUAAAUCUGCAGUAGAGAUCAGCUUUGUAAGUAAAGUCAGGAAAGAGUCUUGGGCUACAGUUAUAAUUUGCAGACUAAGAGUAUUUCUUCAGCAGUGAAAUGAUGAAUGACAGAAUGCCAUUCCUUACUAUGAUAUGAUCAACAAAAUCAAAAUGUAGUUCUUAGCUUAGAUAAACCGUAUGGAUUAAAGAGACAAUGUAGGAAAUGUGAAAAAAUCAACUAUAAGAAUAGAUAUACAAACCCUAUAGGGGAAUUUUAGGACUCCACAGUUGAAAAAAUCAUGUCGGUUACACCAUACUCAUGCAAUUAUACUAGGCACAUCUCAGAUCCUCUCUGAAGACUCUUCUAAAUCAGGCAAAAGGAAACCAGGAAAUAAAGCCCAAACAGGAGUGCAUUGCAGCCAUGAUUCUCAUAAUCUUGAAGUAACUGAUAGUAACAACUGAUAUGAAACUCAAAGUACUUGACAAAAUAUUGUCAAAAGUAGUUAAGUGAAUAAAAAUUUGAAUUGCUUGGAAUAUGUGGUAUUUAUCUCUUGUUUCCCAGUGUUUCUUUCUUUAUUGUUUCAAAAUGCAACAACAAAUUGCUGGGGGUAAACAAAACUCCAUCUGUUGUAUUUGAAUAGCACACAGAAGUGAACUCUGAAUGUAAUGAAAAUCUUUGGACAUGUUAAGUAAAUUAACAACACUG